rnacentral:lncRNA from 1 species
GACCUAAGGCCUAAAUUCCAGGAGGGAGAGCGAGUGCUAUGCUUUCAUGGACUUCAUCUCUACAAAGCAAGGGCCAAAAGGACAAACAAGGGGAAUAUUUCAUACAUCACACUGGUUGGAACAGAAAUUGGGAUGAAUGGGUUCCAGAAAGCAGAGCUCUUAAAUACGUGGACACAAAUUUGCAGAAACAGAGAACUUUAAAGGCCAAUUAAUCAGGAGCAAGGCAAUCAGAGGGCAAGAGGAGAGGGGCUGGCUGCUCCUGGUAAGAUGACAUCUGGCCUGCAGUGGAAAAAUGACAUGACAACAAAAAGGGACAGGCAGAAACCUCCAGGAAAUGGAGGUGAUGACAGUACCAUGAGACACCUCAGCCUCCUGGGAAGAAGAGGGCCCAAGUAGAUCCAACUAUUGGAAAUGAAGACAAAUUUAUGGACAGGGUUGAAGUUAAAAGAUUCCUGAAAGCUGACACCAUGGCUGUGGAUGACUGGGGCUUGAUCACCAGGCAACAUGAUUUCCUCAAGUAUCUGGCGAAGCAUUCUGCACCUUUGUUCAGGGCCAGUGAUUACGAAGUGGUUCCUCCUGAGAAUCACCGGAAAGCCGUGUGA